CGUUUUCAAACCUGGAGUUUAGGACAGGAGAAGACGUCAAGACGGUCGAGGAAAAUACAGACUGCUCGCUGUUAUCCUCAAAAACCUCACCAAGAUCUGUGUCAGACUGUAUUGUUGGCGAACACUAAGGCCUAUGUUAUCAGAGGACUUGCUUACAUGAAGAAAACUUCCAGAGGUUCCAGAGCAGGGACUGUCAAAUAGUAAGAGACAAAUGAAAAGGAGGGAACUGUCUUUAAGCUGUGGAGUCAGACGUAGGGCUCACAUUUAUCUCAAAAACAGCAUUGCAGAGGACUACUAGAACCAACUCAAGCACACAAUGGUGACACAUUUAUAAGAACAUUUCCCUGUGAUAUAAACAUUUCCCUGUGGUAAUUAUUCAGAUUAUUCUCUUUUUCAUUGUGUAGCACUGGUUUAAAGGGUUUGUUCACCCAAAAAUUUAAAUUCUGUCAUUAAUUACUCAUUCUCAUGUCGUUCUAAACCUGUAAG